rnacentral:rRNA from 1 species
AAUAAGCGGAGGAAAAGAAACUAACAAGGAUUCCCCUAGUAACUGCGAGUGAAGCGGGAAAAGCUCAAAUUUGAAAUCUGAUGGUCUUUGACCGUCCGAGUUGUAAUCUAGAGAAGUGUUACCUGUGCUGGACCGUGUACAAGUCUCCUGGAAUGGAGCAUCACAGAGGGUGAGAAUCCCGUCUUUGACACGGACUGCCUGUACAUUAUGGUGCGCUCUCGAAGAGUCGAGUUGUUUGGGAAUGCAGCUCAAAAUGGGUGGUAAAUGCCAUCUAAAGCUAAAUAUUGGCGAGAGACCGAUAGCGAACAAGUACCGUGAGGGAAAGAUGAAAAGAACUUUGGAAAGAGAGUUAAACAGUACGUGAAAUUGCUGAAAGGGAAACGCUUGAAGUCAGUCACGUUGGCUAGAAAUCAGCCUUGCUUCUGCUUGGUGUACUUUCUGGUUGACGGGUCAGCAUCAAUUUCGAUCAUUGGAUAAAGGUGUUGGGGAAUGUGGCAUCUUCGGAUGUGUUAUAGCCCUAUGUCGCAUACAGUGGUUGGGAUUGAGGAACUCAGCACGCCCGCAAGGGACGGGUUUCGACCACGUUCGUGCUCAGGAUGCUGGCAUAAUGGCUUUAAUCGACCC